GUGAGUGCAGGUAGACCUAGAGUCCUAGACAGAGGAGGUGAGUGCAGGUAGACCUAGACAGAGCAGGUGAGUGCAGGUAGACCUAGACAGAGCAAGUGAGUGCACGUAGACCUAGAGUCCUAGACAGAGGAGGUGAGUGCAGGUAGACCUAGAGUCCUAGACAGAGGAGGUGAGUGCAGGUAGACCUAGAGUCCUAGACAGAGGAGGUGAGUGCAGGUAGACCUAGAGUCCUAGACAGAGGAGGUGAGUGCAGGUAGACCUAGAGUCCUAGACAGAGGAGGUGAGUGCAGGUAGACCUAGACAGAGUAGGUGAGUGCAGGUAGACCUAGACAGAGUAGGUGAGUGCAGGUAGACCUAGAGUCCUAGACAGAGGAGGUGAGUGCAGGUAAACCUAGACAGAGCAGGUGAGUGCAGGUAGACCUAGAGUCCUAGACAGAGGAGGUGAGUGCAGGUAGACCUAGACAGAGCAGGUGAGUGCAGGUAGACCCAGAGUCCGAGACAAAGGUGGUGAGUGCAGGUAGACCUAGAGUCCUAGACAGAGCAGGUGAGUGCAGGUAGACCUAGAGUCCUAGACAGAGGAGGUGAGUGCAGGUAGACCUAGAGUCCUAGACA